rnacentral:lncRNA from 1 species
CUGACCUGGGUAGAGUGGCAUCUGGUUGGUGAUGCCCAUCUCAUAUCAGCCAGGGACAAAGCAACUCCUUGUUCAUCCCAGCUUGGCUUUUGAUCCGUGCCCAUGCCUGGUUCAUGCCUUGGACACAUAGGUUUCCUUUAAAGAGGUGGUAUUGUAGCCAGCUUAUAUUUGCAUCUACAGCCAUGUUUCUAGUCCAGCUUG